UGGGGAAUAUUGCACAAUGGAGGGAGCUCUGAUGCAGCGAUGCCGCGUGAGGGAAGAAGGUUUUUGGAUUGUAAACCUCUGUCUUCAGGGACGAAAAAUGACGGUACCUGAGGAGGAAGCUCCGGCUAACUACGUGCCAGCAGCCGCGGUAAUACGUAGGGAGCGAGCGUUGUCCGGAAUUACUGGGUGUAAAGGGAGCGUAGGCGGGGCUUUAAGUCAGGUGUGAAAUCUAUGGGCUCAACCCAUAGACUGCACUUGAAACUGAGGCUCUUGAGUGAAGUAGAGGCAGGCGGAAUUCCUAGUGUAGCGGUGAAAUGCGUAGAUAUUAGGAGGAACAUCAGUGGCGAAGGCGGCCUG
rnacentral:rRNA from 1 species